UCGAUUCGAUUUACCUUCGGGUAAUGAGGAUGGCGGACGGGUGAGUAACGCGUAAGGAACUUGCCUCUUGGUCUGGGACAACUGUUGGAAACGACAGCUAAUACCGGAUAUUAUGAGAUUCUCGCAUGGGAAACUUAUGAAAGCUAUAUGCGCCAAGAGAGAGCCUUGCGUUCCAUUAGCUAGUUGGUGGGGUAACGGCCCACCAAGGCGACGAUGGAUAGCCGGCCUGAGAGGGUGAACGGCCACAAGGGGACUGAGACACGGCCCUUACUCCUACGGGAGGCAGCAGUGGGGAAUAUUGGACAAUGGGCCACAAGCCUGAUCCAGCAAUUCUGUGUGCACGAUGAAGGUCUUCGGAUUGUAAAGUGCUUUCAGUUGGGAAGAAGAAAGUGACGGUACCAACAGAAGAAGCGACGGCUAAAUACGUGCCAGCAGCCGCGGUAAUACGUAUGUCGCAAGCGUUAUCCGGAUUUAUUGGGCGUAAAGCGCGUCUAGGCGGAAAAAUAAGUCUGAUGUUAAAAUGCGGGGCUCAACUCCGUAUUGCGUUGGAAACUGUUUUUCUAGAGUACUGGAGAGGUGGGCGGAACUACAAGUGUAGAGGUGAAAUUCGUAGAUAUUUGUAGGAAUGCCGAUGGAGAAGUCAGCUCACUGGACAGAUACUGACGCUGAAGCGCGAAAGCGUGGGGAGCAAACAGGAUUAGAUACCCUGGUAGUCCACGCCGUAAACGAUGAUCACU
rnacentral:rRNA from 1 species